rnacentral:tRNA from 1 species
GUCACUGUAGCUCAGUUGGUAGAGCAUGGUGUUUGCAACGCCAGGGUUGUGGGUUCGAUUCCCACGGGGGGCC